rfam:Xenopus laevis strain J chromosome 2S, whole genome shotgun sequence.
GGCCUUUGUGUUGCUCUUUCACUUGCUAAGUAGUGAAUGAGGUGUCAGAAAAGGCCUAAAGGAACCUCCCUCAGGGUCACCUCUUGUUCUUCAGAUGAACAUUUUAUCUGGAGUGCGACUGUGAUGGGACAUUGCU